GGACAGCGGAAGGACAUUACCGAGUUAUAC
rnacentral:rRNA from 1 species